UAGAAUUUUUUAGAAACAGAGGAGAGUGAAGAUCAGUACUUCUUCCACACAUCUCUCUCCCUCUUUGUCUUAUUUUUUCCCCCUUUUCUACAUAUGCCAAUAACUUUUCCUCUUGAAAAAUAUUUAGUUACUUACAUCUUAUUUAUUUGGUAGUAGACUUGUUUCAUACAUAUUUGAAAAUUUAUACAUACAUCUUAUUUAUUUUUAGUUACUUAUUGCUCCCAAGACCUAUACUGGGAUUCAUAAUAUAAUUGUAUCUACAUCACACGAUAUUUUUGUUGGUAUUUUUCUGUCUAAAUUUUUAGUCUCUAGAAUUACUCUCAAGACAUCUAUUUAUCUCUCUCUUACUCUUAAUAGUUAUUUCUCACCAUGAAAUGCUAUAUAGAUGAUGGUAUCAACUGUUACAAUGAAAGCAAAAAAAAUAUUGUGUUGUUGAAUUUCUUAUUAACAUGGAUUUAACUUUUAAAUCUACAUCUUAUCUUUUCCUUUUGCAUAGCUUUGAAAUUAGUUAUUUAAAUUAGGAAGAAAAAAAUUUAUUUUUACACAGCAGUUGUCCUCUGUGGAUUGUUGCAGACCACCCAUCAAAAUCAUGGAAGCGUGCUCUUAAAAAAAUAAAGAAAAUUUUUCUCUUAAAAAUAGAAGAAAAUAGAUACUGAACUACAUUUAGAAUUGGAGUGGAAAGUUGUAUGUAUUGAGGGGUACUAAUAAGCAUUAAAAAGAUUGUACCAUCAUAUUCUUAUUGAUCAUUACUAAUGUUGUGUUCCUAUUCAUUACUAAUUUCAUGCCCCUGUUCAUUUGUACUGUCAUGUUUCAAAUUCAUAUGCUUAUGCUAUGUUCACCAUGAAGGUGAUGAAGAUUAAGAAGAUGAAGGCAUUGUCGUUAGGGAGGCUCUUGUCUCUCUUGAAGCUGAAGGUUUCAGGUGAACGAAAUUAAAGGCAAUGCUGUUUGGGAGGUUCUUGUCACCACAUGUAUAUAUUCCAUGCAGAGAACUGGUGUUGACACAGGAUGAUGAUAUGGUCUUAGUGCUUCCUUCUAUGCUACUUCUUCAACCUUGACGGCAGAGGCAAAGAGCUUGUCUGGAAGCUCUUAGAUGGUUCAAGCAUACAUCAAGGGAUAUCUAUGUGGUGUUCACUUGUUGACACAUAUAGUUCUACUUAAUUUGGGAGGUUACUUUGGCUGGAGACUUAUGUGGACUUCAAUUUGUUUGGUUUAUUGGAAAACAUUAAAACUAUAUGGAAUUUGUUUGCUUGUUUAAGUUUUUAUUUUGUUGUUACUAAAGCUACUUGGUAGGUUGUUCAUGCAACUCAUGUUCUACCUAAUAAGUCUUGUUUCAAUAAGAUAAGUUAGUUUGUUAUGUACGUGUUUAGUUUUAUAUAUUUAUGGGUAAAAUUAUAUUUGUGGUCUCUAUAAUUUUCCUUUGGAACCAAUUUGGUCCAUGUAAUUUAAACUCUAUCAAUUUUUCCUUUUAGUUUUCAUAUGGUGUCAAUUUAGUGUAAUUGAAUUCCUUAACAAAUUUGACCGAAAUGGAGAGCAUGCAAAUGGUCCAUUCAGGAGGGAAUAAGUUCUUUAAAAUUAGAUAUUAAUCCCUUAAUCACUUUAAAAAUAGUGAAUGUGUUAUUUUGUCUAUUGAAUUUAGUCAAAUUUCUAUAGUGAAUGUGCUAUUUUGCCCAUUGGAUUUAGUCAACAAUGGCGCAGCCCAUUGGAUAGCAAAGGCUUUGUACACAAACUCUUUACCUUUUGAUUGGGUUGUCAACCCCCCAAUUGCCUUAAAUUCGGUUCUUUCUUUAGAUGCAUCCCAUUUGCCUGUUUAAUGACAGGUUGGGAGUUUUUUUUUUUUAGACUAAAUUGAUACAAAUAAAUUACUUAAUGGUAAAAUUGAUGCAAUUUAGAACUAGAAAAACCAAAUUGAUAGAAGAAAUGCAUUUUGGGGACUACAUGUGUUAUUUGCCCUAUAAACUUUUUUAUUUUGAAAAAAAAAAAAGUAGCCUAGAAAAUGCAACUCAAUUUGAAGAAAUUACAAUGAGAGAAGGAAGAACCAGCAUGGGUUAAACAAAUAUGAUGUCAGCACCUUGUGCCAGGUUUUUUGUUUUGUUUUCUUUGUUUUUAUUUUAUUUUAUUACCGUAUAUAUAUAUAUAUAUAUAUAUGUAUUCAUGAGAGGAAGUUUUGAGGUGGAGAAAUGUAUGAAAAAAAAGACACAUUUUUUUUUCUUGACCCAAGCCUUUUCCUAAACAAUGUGUGAACAUAUAAAACCAAGAGUAAUUAACAUGAAAAGAGCAAGACCACCAAUAAAUUUUGGAUUGAGAUUCAUCUCUUCCAUCUAAGAAUUGGAGAUUGCCUAUAUGCCUAAAGCAUUCAAUGACAGGCUUCGAGUGGUCGAUGACCAAGAAGGAGAGGAACAAUAAGAAUUUUAAUAUACCACAAUUUUUGUAUUUAAUCUUUGAUAUUAAGAUAAAUUGACAAAGACAAGAAAAUAGAAGAAAGUUUCAAAAACAUAGGAGAGUGAAGAUCAGUACUUCUUCCACUCAUCUCUCUCCCUCUUUGUCUCUUUUUUUUUUUUUUCCCUUUUCUACAUAUGCCUAUGACUUUUCCUCACUUGAAUAUUCACAUGCAAGCUGUUCUUCUAUUGGGAGUAGACUUGUUUCAUAUAUUUUUGAAAUUUAUAUCUACAUGUCAUUUAUUUUCAAUUGCUUAUUGCUCCCAAGUCCUAUACUGGAGCUCACAAUAUAUAAUUGUAUCUACACCAUACAAUAUUUUUGUUAGUAUUUUUCUGUCUAAAUUUUUAGUCUUGAGCAUUAUUCUCAAGACAUCUAUUUAUCACUCUCUUAUUCUUAAUAUUUAUUUUUCACCAUGGAGUGCUAUAUAGAUGAAGCUAUCAACUGCUACAAUGAAAGGUGGAAAAAAAAAAUUGUGUUGGUGAAUUUCUUAUUAUUGUAUUUGCAUACUGGUCACAUCCUACUUUAUUUAACAUGGGAUUUAACUUUUAAAUCUAUAUCUUAUCUUUUUCUUUUACAUAUCUCCAAAAUUAUUUAUGUAAUAAAUUAGGAAGGAAAAAAAAUAUUUUUACACGCAAGUUAUCCUCUGUGGAUUGUCGCAGACCCAUCAAAAUCAUGAAAACAGGUAAUUGCUCUUAGAAAAAUUAUGUUAGUGAAUUUCUGAUUAUGGUAUUUACAUAUUGAUCACAGCCUACUUAACUUAAUGUAGGGUUUAGGUUUAGCUUGUAUCUCCAUCUUAUCUUUUCCUUUCACAUCUUAUCUAUGGUAUUAGCUAGCUAAUAAAUCAGGAUGGAAUUUUUUUAUUACUACACAACAAUUACCCACUAUGAAUAACCCAUCAAAAUCAUGAUAGUACAUAAUUUCUCUUUAAAAAAACUUAGGGACAGAAAUAAAAGCUAAAGUAUAUUGAACUAGAAUUAGAAUUGGAGAGAAACCUUGCCCCUUUCAACUGGCAUUAAAUAAGUACUAACACUAACAGAGUAGUACUGCUAUAUUUUUAUUCAUCAUUAGUAAUGUAAUGUUCCUAUUCAUUAGUAUUGUCAUGUUUCAAUUUUAUAUGCUUAUGUAUGCUUAUGUUCAAAUCAAUUCCAACUGAAUGGAAUUGAAAGCAAUGUUGUUUGGGAGGUUCUUGUCACUGUAGGUAUGAAUUCUACGCAUAGAGCUGGUGUUGACACAAAGGUUGUGAUAGAUGAUUGUCAUACAUUUACUUGAUAUUUUCUCAACUCUUGUUGUGUUUAUACUAGAAGAUCUUGCACUAGGCAGCUCUUGGUUAUAAUUCAUCUAGUUUUUCAAUAAAUUUUCUUUUGGUGACAAAAAAA